ACCUGACUGCCUCAGUUGGUAGAGCAUGGGACUCUUGAUCUUGGGGUUGUGAGUUCGAGCCCCAUGUUGGGUG
rnacentral:tRNA from 1 species